CGUCGCCUUGACGCGAGUCUUGAUGGAGCACGCCGCGUGCAGUGAUGAUGCCUUCGGGUUGUAAACGCGCUUUUAUCUGGGACGAAUAUGACGGUAGCAGAUGAAUAAGGACCGGCUAACUCCGUGCCAGCAGCCGCGGUAAUAAUAUA
rnacentral:rRNA from 1 species